CCAGCUCUCUUUGCCGUAUGGCUUAGAUCAAGUGUAGUAUCUGUUCUUUUCAGUUUAAUCUCUGAAACGCCCCUCCCGGGGGGCGAAUUUCGCUGAUUAUGCGUAUUUUUGGUCAGAUAGGUUGAGAAGACCUCUGCGUUUACGUACGACUUCUUGGCCACUGUGUCCCUGGUAUUACACUGCUUCCAGGUGAUGCGAACGGUGU
rnacentral:snRNA from 1 species